rnacentral:rRNA from 1 species
UGCAGUCGAACGGUAGCAGAAAGUGCUUGCACUUUGCUGACGAGUGGCGGACGGGUGAGUAAUGCUUGGGAACUUGCCUUUAGGUGGGGGAUAACAGUUGGAAACGACUGCUAAUACCGCAUAAUGUCUACGGACCAAAGGGGGCUUCGGCUCCCGCCUUGAGAGAGGCCCAAGUGAGAUUAGCUAGUUGGCGGGGUAAAGGCCUACCAAGGCAGCGAUCUCUAGCUGUUCUGAGAGGAAGAUCAGCCACACUGGGACUGAGACACGGCCCAGACUCCUACGGGAGGCAGCAGUGGGGAAUAUUGCACAAUGGGGGAAACCCUGAUGCAGCCAUGCCGCGUGUGUGAAGAAGGCCUUCGGGUUGUAAAGCACUUUCAGUUGUGAGGAAAGGUUGGUAGUUAAUACCCGCCAGCUGUGACGUUAACAACAGAAGAAGCACCGGCUAACUCCGUGCCAGCAGCCGCGGUAAUACGGAGGGUGCGAGCGUUAAUCGGAAUUACUGGGCGUAAAGCGCACGCAGGCGGCUUGUUAAGCUAGAGGUGAAAGCCCCGCGCUCAACGUGGGAACUGCCUUUAGAACUGGCAGGCUAGAGUCUUGGAGAGGGGAGUGGAAUUCCAGGUGUAGCGGUGAAAUGCGUAGAUAUCUGGAGGAACAUCAGUGGCGAAGGCGGCUCCCUGGCCAAAGACUGACGCUCAUGUGCGAAAGUGUGGGUAGCGAACAGGAUUAGAUACCCUGGUAGUCCACACCGUAAACGCUGUCUACUAGCUGUUUGUGUAUUUAAUACGUGAGUA